UUUAGAGGAAGUAAAAGUCGUAACAAGGUUUCCGUAGGUGAACCUGCGGAAGGAUCAUCAUUGAAUAAACUUGAGCAGGCUGUUGCUGGCCCAAGGGCAUUGUGCACGCUUGUCAUAUUUAUUUCUCCAACUGUGCACACACUGUAGACCUAAAGUUUUAGAGACAUCUAGAUUGAGGAUUGCUGUGCCUUUAGGCUAGCUUUGCCUUGUAGGUCUAUGUUUUUUCCACAAACCCUUAAACCUGUUUAGAAUGUUGAAUCAGGUCAUUUGUACCUAUAAAGUUAAAUAUACAACUUUCAGCAACGGAUCUCUUGGCUCUCGCAUCGAUGAAGAACGCAGCGAAAUGCGAUAAGUAAUGUGAAUUGCAGAAUUCAGUGAAUCAUCGAAUCUUUGAACGCAUCUUGCGCUCCUUGGUAUUCCGAGGAGCAUGCCUGUUUGAGUGUCAUUAAAUUCUCAACCACACUGAUUUUAUAUUAGAGUGGCUUGGAUAUGGGGGUUGUUCUUUGCAGGCUUUAGAAAUGAAGUCGGCUCCCCUGAAAUGCAUGAGUGGUGUCUUAGUGGUGACUACUACAGGUGUGAUAAUUAUCUAUGCCUUGGGUAGACCCAUUGUACUGCUUCUAAACACUUUUAUUUUGAAACAUUUGACCUCAAAUCAGGUAGGACUACCCGCUGAACUUAAGCAUAUCAAUAAGCGGAGGA
rnacentral:rRNA from 1 species